GGAAUUGUUCGCAAUGGGCGCAAGCCUGACGACGCAACGCCGCGUGGAGGAUGAAGAUUUUCGGAUCGUAAACUCCUGUCGAAUGGGACGAACAGCUUGCGGGUGAACAACCUGCAGUCCUGACGGUACCGUUAAAGGAAACCCCGGCUAACCCCGUGCCAGCAGCCGCGGUAAUACGGGGGGGGUAAGCGUUGUUCGGAAUUACUGGGCGUAAAGGGCUCGUAGGCGGCCAACUAAGUCAGACGUGAAAUCCCUCAGCUUAACUGGGGAACUGCGUCUGAGACUGGAUGGCUUGGAUUCGGGAGAGGGAUGCGGAAUUCCAGGUGUAGCGGUGAAAUGCGUAGAUAUCUGGAGGAACACCGGUGGCGAAGGCGGCAUCCUGGACCGAUAUUGACGCUGAGGAGCGAAAGCCAGGGGAGCAAAC
rnacentral:rRNA from 1 species